GACGAACGCUGGCGGCGUGCUUAACACAUGCAAGUCGAACGGAAAGGCCCUGCUUUUGUGUGGUGCUCGAGUGGCGAACGGGUGAGUAACACGUGAGUAACCUGCCCUUGACUUUGGGAUAACUUCAGGAAACUGGGGCUAAUACCGGAUAGGAGCUCCUGCUGCAUGGGGGGGGUUGGAAAGUUUCGGCGGUUGUGGAUGGUCUCGCGGCUUAUCAGCUUGUUGGUGGGGUAGUGGCUUACCAAGGCUUUGACGGGUAGCAGGCCUGAGAGGGUGACCGGCCAAAUUGGGACUGAGCUACGGCCCGGACUCGUACGGGAGGCAGCAGUGGGGAAUAUUGCACAAUGGGCGGAAGCCUGAUGCAGCAACGCCGCGUGCGGGAUGAAGGCCUUCGGGUUGUAAAACGCUUUCGCCUGUGACGAAGCGUGAGUGACGGUAAUGGGUAAAGAAGCCCCGGCUAACUACGUG
rnacentral:rRNA from 1 species